AAAGGGAGACCUAAUUCGGGUAGGAGACGAAAAAAAAGUAGUCGCUACCAAGAAUCAAUCCCAAAAGGUCGGAGCGAGGCGAAAUUGGCUUUCAAACUAGGUUCUGGGUUCACACAAGACCUGAAUCAGGAACAAGGGCUAUUAGCUCAGGUGGUUAGAGCGCACCCCUGAUAAGGGUGAGGUCCCUGGUUCGAGUCCAGGAUGGCCCACCUGCACAGGUGGCAAAAACAAGAGAAGCGAGGAAUCAGCACCUUAUCUUACCUACAUAGUAAGAGAGAAUGCUGGCUCUGAGUACAGAGUCCAGAGGAACCUUGAAAACUGCAUAGAGCUAGGUGAAAAAGCCAAAAAAGAAGACCGCAAG
rnacentral:tRNA from 1 species